CGACCCCAGGUCAGGC
rnacentral:rRNA from 78 species